AACUUUCAACAACGGAUCUCUUGGUUCUCGCAUNNAUGANNNACGCAGCGAAAUGCGAUAAGUAAUGUGAAUUGCAGAAUUCAGUGAAUCAUCGAAUCUUUGAACGCACAUNGCGCCCCUUGGUAUUCCGAGGGGCAUGCCUGUUCGAGCGUCAU
rnacentral:rRNA from 1 species